rnacentral:rRNA from 1 species
GACGAACGCUGGCGGCGUGCUUAACACAUGCAAGUCGAACGGAAAGGCCCUGCUUGCCGGGUACUCGAGUGGCGAACGGGUGAGUAACACGUGGGUGAUCUGCCCUGCACUUCGGGAUAAGCCUGGGAAACUGGGUCUAAUACCGGAUAGGAGCCAUUUUUAGUGUGAUGGUUGGAAAGUUUUUUCGGUGUAGGAUGAGCUUGCGGCCUAUCAGCUUGUUGGUGGGGUAAUGGCCUACCAAGGCGGCGACGGGUAGCCGGCCUGAGAGGGUGGACGGCCACAUUGGGACUGAGAUACGGCCCAGACUCCUACGGGAGGCAGCAGUGGGGAAUAUUGCACAAUGGGCGCAAGCCUGAUGCAGCGACGCCGCGUGGGGGAUGACGGCCUUCGGGUUGUAAACUCCUUUCGCUAGGGACGAAGCUUUUGUGACGGUACCUAGAGAAGAAGCACCGGCUAACUACGUG